CCAUCAGGAUCAAUAUUGAGACAAAAAAGAGGAUAAUUGAUUGUGAAUUGGGAAAUGAUGGCUGAUUUACUAAGCAAAUGAGAGAUACAGUUUCCCAUUCGUUUUGUACACAAAAUCAAUAAAUCCUCCAAUUUUAGGCUGAUAUGAGGUCAGAAAAGGUCACAUGACUUAGCAGUGGUACGCCCGAUUUUCGCAAAGUUGGUGUCAAAAGAUGCGUAAGAUUUAAAUGAAAAAACUCAUGAAAGCGUGCUGCAAAAUUUUCACGCGAUUUCGGAGUAUGUAAAUCAUUGGAAAUGAAACAUGAUAGAUUUGAUGAGUUUGAGAUGUACAUGAUCAAAACAGUUAUGUGAAUAGUGGGUAAUUAGUUAACAUUAUAAACCACAAUGUGAUAGUGUUGGUAUUAAUCACUUUUAGUGAUAGUUAUUUAUUUCUUACUUUUUAGUUUUUAGUUUUCUUUUGUUUUUCUUCUUUUCAAUGUAGGACGUACGAGUGUUAGAGUUACUGGAAGGAGGUAGUGGUGUUUAAGUACUGGUUGCUUUGGAAGGCAAUUUGUGUUUGUAUUGUCAAAUCAUCUUCAUUUUUCAAAACAUUACAUACCAUACCAUUCCAUCUUCACCCUCAGAACUCGUGAUCUUGAGUUUUUGAGAAAAGCAGUACUCAUUCAGAAGUUCAUUUGAAGUUUCAUCCAGAAUCCCAUUCCCAUUCCAGAUAUCAUAUUCAAAUCAUUACAUACCAUACCAUACCAUUCCAUCUUCACCCUCGGAACUCGCUAUCUGAGUUUUUGAGAAAAGCAGUACUCAUUCAGAAGUUCAUUUGAAAUUUCAUCCAGAAUCCCAUCCUAAAGUCUGUUUAUACACAAUUCACGACAAUAGCCCUAGCACUUAUAAGCUAGGUGUGAGUCAAUUCGAAUUGUGGUACACAGCAAUUCUCAAGUCUGUUUAUACACAAUUCACGACAAUAGCCCUAGCACUUAUAAGCUAGGUGUGAGUCAAUUCGAAUUGUGGUACACAGCAUAUCAAUAUCUGAAUAUAUCUGAAUAUACUUAUCUGAAUAUACUUAUCUGAAUAUAUCUGAAUAUACUUACCUACUUACCUACUUACAUACUUACCUACUUAUAUCUUAUACCUUACAUCUUAUACCUUAUACUUGAUACUUUAUCCUUGAUCCUAAAGUCUGUUUACUCUGUCUACUCAAUCUGAAUCUUCAUUAUCUUACUCUAUCUACUCAAUCUGAAUCUUCAUUAUCUUACUCUGUCUUACUGAAAUUCAAUCUUGAUCUUACUCUGUCUUUCUGAAAUUGAAUCUUCAAUUUCUGUGUUGUGUUGCUCAAACUGUGUGAAAUUGUGUGAAAACAAGAAAAUAAGAUACGAAGCGAGAUUUGACAAGAGUGUUAAUAAACAAUAAAGAGAAGAAAAUUUCUUUUUGAGUUGAUUUUUAGUGAAAGAAA